rnacentral:rRNA from 1 species
UAUGUGAUCGUCUCUCGCAUAUCAAUAAGCGGAGGAAAAGAAACUAACAAGGAUUCCCCUAGUAACGGCGAGUGAAGCGGGAAGAGCUCAGAUUUGAAAUCUUAAAGGGUUUCCCUUUACGAAUUGUAGUUUAAAGAAGUGUUUUCUGUUGAGGUUUUGGUAAAAGUUCUUUGGAAUAGGACAUCAUAGAGGGUGAGAAUCCCGUAUUUGACCUUUACUUUCAACUUUGUGAUACACUUUCAAAGAGUCGGAUUGUUUGGGAAUGCAGUCCAAAAUGGGUGGUAAAUUUCAUCUAAAGCUAAAUAUUGGCGAGAGACCGAUAGCGAACAAGUACCGUGAGGGAAAGAUGAAAAGAACUUUGAAAAGAGAGUUAAACAGUACGUGAAAUUGUCAAAAGGGAAGCGUUUGACACCAGUGUUGUUUUUCUGAAAAUCAAUUAAAGAACUGUUUAUGCUAAGUUGUUUAGACUUUAUCAGCUAACUGUCUAGUUUUGAGCUUUUCUUUAAUGCACUUUUCAGUUAACAAGGUCAACAUCAUUUCUUUUGCUGUAAAAAAGCUUGAGGAAGGUGGCUUGAGAUUCGUCUUAAGUGUUUAUAGCCUCUUGCCUAUGCAGUCGGAGAGAUUGAGGUCUGCAGCGUAGAUCCUUCGGGGCUAAAUGCAUUUGUGCUAAGUUAUAGCAUUUUAUAGACAACUUGUUGACUAUGAUUUGUCUUGUAGCUUACUCGCUUAUGUUAUUUUACCUACGCUUAGGAUGUUGAAGACUCUACAGAGAUA